rnacentral:lncRNA from 1 species
UUUGGAGUUGGUGCAAUGUGAUUAUUCAUCAGUCAGGAUUGCCUCAAAUUGUCUUCUUCAGUCGUGUUGAUCCCAGAUGCUGGCUCUCCCUCAACAGAAUUGAUCCAGGGAGUACAGUUGAAACUAUCAUCAAGUCCACCCAAUCCUCCAAACACAUUGCUUUGUGGAUUAUCAGCUUGGGUCGCAGUAUGCCCGGUGCAGUCAAUCGGUAAGGCUGACGUAGAAGCAGUAUAUAUGACCUCAUUUUCAGCCCCUUGCAUGGUGGUACCCACAGCUACUGGUUCUGGUACAUCAUCAACGCUUUGUAGGACGAAUGGCUCCCACAAUCUUUCGUCCCAUUCUAAGAUACUCAGUUCUUCGCUUGCAAAUGACGGUACAAAAUCGACACAGGAUGUGAGCAAUUCUUGUCCCAAAUUUUCGUCUUGCACUUGAGCUGCUAAUGGUGGACUGUUAUCGAUCCAUGGCUUGAGGCUUUGUGUCACUGGCAGUUCAGC